GGUACUCGAGUGGCGAACGGGUGAGUAACACGUGGGUGAUCUGCCCUGUACUUCGGGAUAAGCUUGGGAAACUGGGUCUAAUACCGGAUAGGAAUCACAUGUGGGUGUGUGGUUGGAAAGCUUUUGCGGUAUGGGAUGAGCUCGCGGCCUAUCAGCUUGUUGGUGGGGUAAUGGCCUACCAAGGCGUCGACGGGUAGCCGGCCUGAGAGGGUGUACGGCCACAUUGGGACUGAGAUACGGCCCAGACUCC
rnacentral:rRNA from 1 species